rnacentral:rRNA from 1 species
CGGGACGGGUGAGUAAUGUCGGGGAAACCGCCCGAUGGAGGGGGAUAACUACUGGAAACGGUAGCUAAUACCGCAUAACGUCGCAAGACCAAAGAGGGGACCUUCGGGCCUCUUGCCAUCGGAUGUGCCCAGAUGGGAUUAGCUAGUAGGUGGGGUAACGGCUCACCUAGGCGACGAUCCCUAGCUGGUCUGAGAGGAUGACCAGCCACACUGGAACUGAGACACGGUCCAG